rnacentral:rRNA from 1 species
CACUCCUACGGGAGGCAGCAGUGGGGAAUUUUGGACAAUGGGCGAAAGCCUGAUCCAGCAAUGCCGCGUGAGUGAAGAAGGCCUUCGGGUUGUAAAGCUCUUUUGUCAGGGAAGAAACGGUGAAAGCUAAUAUCUUUUGCUAAUGACGGUACCUGAAGAAUAAGCACCGGCUAACUACGUGCCAGCAGCCGCGGUAAUACGUAGGGUGCAAGCGUUAAUCGGAAUUACUGGGCGUAAAGCGUGCGCAGGCGGUUUUGUAAGUCUGAUGUGAAAUCCCCGGGCUCAACCUGGGAAUUGCAUUGGAGACUGCAAGGCUAGAAUCUGGCAGAGGGGGGUAGAAUUCCACGUGUAGCAGUGAAAUGCGUAGAUAUGUGGAGGAACACCGAUGGCGAAGGCAGCCCCCUGGGUCAAGAUUGACGCUCAUGCACGAAAGCGUGGGGAGCAAACAGGAUUAGAAACCCCGGUAGUCCCAUGA